ACUUCCCCUAGAGGUUUUGCAGGUAUGGCUGCUAUGUCAGUUGUAUGCAAGUAGGUGUAAGGGAAUAGAGAAGCUAUGUCUAUACUUAUUGUUCUAACCCAUGGACAUCUGAAUAAUUAGUAGUCCAACUUU